AGGUGAUUUGAAGAGGUAGUCUGUUUAUAAAUGUCCUAGAGAAAUAUAGUAGCUUUCUGUUCAUCCUUUACAAGAAAGGGUGGAUCGUUCCACUACUGACAUUU